rnacentral:rRNA from 1 species
GAUGAACGCUGGCGGCGUGCCUAAUACAUGCAAGUCGAGCGAACGGACGAGAAGCUUGCUUCUCUGAUGUUAGCGGCGGACGGGUGAGUAACACGUGGAUAACCUACCUAUAAGACUGGGAUAACUUCGGGAAACCGGAGCUAAUACCGGAUAAUAUUUUGAACCGCAUGGUUCAAAAGUGAAAGACGGUCUUGCUGUCACUUAUAGAUGGAUCCGCGCUGCAUUAGCUAGUUGGUAAGGUAACGGCUUACCAAGGCAACGAUGCAUAGCCGACCUGAGAGGGUGGUAGGCCACACUGGAACUGAGACACGGUCCAGACUCAUACGGGAGGCAGCAGUAGGGAAUCUUCCGCAAUGGGCGAAAGCCUGACGGAGCAACGCCGCGUGAGUGAUGAAGGUCUUCGGAUCGUAAAACUCUGUUAUUAGGGAAGAACAUAUGUGUAAGUAACUGUGCACAUCUGGACGGUACCUAAUCAGAAAGCCACGGCUAACUACGU